UACGGAGGGUGCAAGCGUUAUCCGGAUUCACUGGGUUUAAAGGGUGCGUAGGUGGAUUAGUAAGUCAGUGGUGAAAUCUCUGGGCUUAACUCAGAAACUGCCAUUGAUACUAUUAGUCUUGAAUACCGUGGAGGUCAGCGGAAUAUGUCAUGUAGCGGUGAAAUGCUUAGAUAUGACAUAGAACACCAAUUGCGAAGGCAGCUGGCUACACGAAUAUUGACACUGAGGCACGAAAGCGUGGGGGAUCAAACAGG
rnacentral:rRNA from 1 species